rnacentral:lncRNA from 1 species
AAUCAUUUUAAUACUCCUCCAAAAAAUAUACAUGGGGCCAUCAGAGUGUAAAAAAUGCAAAGAAAAGAAAACAGCUUCUGGGGCAAUUUAGCUCCUCCUUCUUGGUGGAAUUUAGUUGUAAAAUUCUGCAUUAUUUGAGGAACCAGUGAGGAAACCACCUGCAGAAAGAACAAUUUGAAAACCAUUAAAGUCUACAAUCUCUAGGAUUCUGUUUCCUUCUACAAUAGUGGAUUAUGACUUUAGGAUUCUGACUACUAAGCACAGUGAUUAAAAACAUAGAUAUUUAAACUAAAAAGAUCUACAUUCAGAUCCUUUCUUCAAAAGCCGGCAUUGUGCCCCAUUACCUCCACACAGAGCCCACGGAAGAGUGAGCACACAGUUGACUGAUAACGUAGGCAAGAAGACGUGAUAGGGCAAAGCCAGGUCUGUUUCUCUGUGUAAACACCCUCCUUUUCACCCCAAAUAGGCAAACAUCUCUGAAGUCACAAUGGCUCAGCCGACACCAACAGGCUUGGAAGAAUUCAAUGUUUGUAAACCAGAACCUUCUCACGGAUAUGUUUCCUCGUUAAUCUAACAGUCCUCAAAUCUUUCCAACUGCAGGGAUGUUUUCUUCAAAAGCAGAGAUUUAUCAAAUCUCUUUAGUACUGAGAACGAAGUAAGGAGAGACUGGAGGAUGGGAAAGGAGUCCUUUCCCUCUCUGCUUUUCCCAGGAAACCGUUCCACUGACAGUGAGGCCAACGUUCACUUUCCGUCACCACUCAACUUUGACCAAACUGUCCCACCAAUGGCUCCUAGGAGGACACCGAUGGAGCAAGACAGGUGGGCUUCCUUGUUGGCACUCAGGGACAAGUGCAUGAUCAUGCAACAUCUGGAUGUGCACACACGUGUGACCCUACACAAGCACACGGAGGGACAGUGACAAACCUGGGAUUCCUGCAGCUCGGGGAAGCUACUGCCCAUGCAAUCCGGAAUAUGAAGAUGUUGUAAAAUAAAAAACUGAAGCAC